UUUAUACAUGCAAGUCGAACGAUGAAGUUCCUUCGGGAAUGGAUUAGUGGCGAACGGGUGAGGAACACGUGAGAAACCUGCCUUUCAUUCUGGGAUAACACCGGGAAACCGGUGCUAACACCGGAUACUCCAUCUUGGCGGCAUCGCCGAGCUGGGAAAAAAUUUUGAUGAAAGAUGGUCUCGCGGCCUAUCAGCUAGUUGGUGAGGUAAAGGCUCACCAAGGCGACGACGGGUAGCCGGCCUGAGAGGGCGACCGGCCACACUGGGACUGAGACACGGCCCAGACUCCUACGGGAGGCAGCAGUAGGGAAUAUUGGGCAAUGGGCGAAAGCCUGACCCAGCGACGCCGCGUGAGGGAUGAAGGUCUUCGGAUUGUAAACCUCUUUCAGUAGGGAAGAAGCGAAAGUGACGGUACCUAAAGAAGAAGCACCGGCUAACUAUGUGCCAGCAGCCGCGGUAAUACAUAGGGUGCAAGCGUUGUCCGGAAUUAUUGGGCGUAAAGAGCUCGUAGGUCGUUUGUCGCGUCGAUUGUGAAAAUCUGAGGCUCAACCUCAGACCUGCAGUCGAUACGGGCAAACUAGAGUGUGGUAGGGGAGACUGGAAUUCCUGGUGUAGCGGUGGAAUGCGC
rnacentral:rRNA from 1 species